rnacentral:rRNA from 1 species
GACGAACGCUGGCGGCGUGCUUAACACAUGCAAGUCGAACGAGUGGCGAACGGGUGAGUAACACGUGGGUGAUCUGCCUUGCACUUCGGGAUAAGCUUGGGAAACUGGGUCUAAUACCGGAUCUUGCAAGAUGAGCUCGCGGCCUAUCAGCUUGUUGGUGGGGUAAUGGCUACCAAGGCGCCACGGGUAGCCGGCCUGAGAGGGUGUACGGCCACAUUGGGACUGAGAUACGGACCAGACUCCUAAGGGAGGCAGCAGUGGGGAAUAUUGCACAAUGGGCGGAAGGCUGAUGCAGCGACGCCGCGGGAGUGAAGAAGAUUUUCGAAACGUAAAGCUCUGUUGUUAGGAAAGCGGUAACUAACCAGAAAGGGACGGCUAACUACGUGCCAGCAGCCGCGGUAAUAC